AGAUUGAACGCUGGCGGCAGGCCUAACACAUGCAAGUCGAGCGGCAGCACGGGUACUUGUACCUGGUGGCGAGCGGCGGACGGGUGAGUAAUGCCUAGGAAUCUGCCUGGUAGUGGGGGAUAACGCUCGGAAACGGACGCUAAUACCGCAUACGUCCUACGGGAGAAAGCAGGGGACCUUCGGGCCUUGCGCUAUCAGAUGAGCCUAGGUCAGAUUAGCUAGUUGGUGAGGUAAAGGCUCACCAAGGCGACGAUCUGUAGCUGGUUUGAGAGGACGACCAGCCACACUGGGACUGAGACACGGCCCAGACUCCUACGGGAGCAGCAGUGGGGAAUUUGGACAA
rnacentral:rRNA from 1 species